UCUCUGGUGGUCCAGUGGCUGAGACUCUGCACUCCCAAUGCAAGAGGCCUGGAUUCAAUUCCUGGUCGGGGAA
rnacentral:tRNA from 1 species